AUCGAAUAGCAGGGGAGUCGCGUUAGCGGCUGAGAGGCGGGUGUGACCCGCGACCCUUUGAACCUGUCAGAUCAUGCUGGCGUAGGGAGUUGCGGAUGGUAGUCC
rnacentral:ncRNA from 2 species